AUUUAUAUAGUUUAAAAAACAUUACAUUUUCAUUGUAAAAUUAAGAUAAAUAAUUUCUUUAUAAAUU
rnacentral:tRNA from 1 species